rnacentral:rRNA from 1 species
GAACUUAUAUCAGUAGGACCUGCUCAAUGAUCUUUUUCAAUAGCCGCAAUAAUCUUGUGCUAAGGUAGCAUAAUCAUUUGCCUUCUAAUUAGAGGCUGGAAUGAAAGGUCUGACACAUGAGCUCCUUUAUUACUCUUAUUUCUUUAACUUUGCUUUCAAGUUAGAAGACUUGAAUUUUCAAGAAGGACGACAAGACCCUAUCGAACUUGACUUUUGUUGAACUGGGGCGGUAAAAAACCAAUUCUUUUUUCCUUUUCCAUAGCCAUCCUUUUGAUAAGAAAUUAUUAAGCUACCGUAGGGAUAACAGCAUAAUUUUUUCCUAAAGUUCUUAUAAAAGAAAAAGAUUAUGACCUCGAUGUUGAAUUAUUUCUCUUUUUGGAGCAAGAUCUAAAAAAGAAAGUCAGUUCGACUUUUAAACUUUUACGUGAUCUGAGUUCA